rnacentral:misc_RNA from 1 species
UACGAGUGCCCUAAGCGUUAUCCGGAAUUAUUGGGCGUAAAGGGUGUGUAGGUGGUUGUGUUAGUCUUCUGUUAAAUUCUUCGGCUUAACCGGGGGCAUGCAGGGGAAACGGCACAACUAGAGGAUGCGAGAGGCAAACAGAACUCAUGGAGUAGGGGUGAAAUCCGUUGAUAUCAUGGGGAAUACCAAAUGCGAAGGCAGUUUGCUGGCGCACUCCUGACACUGAAACACGAAAGCGUGGGUAGCGAAUGGG